rnacentral:rRNA from 1 species
CAGCACCUCAAGUGGUCAGGAUGAUUAUUGGGCCUAAAGCAUCCGUAGCCGGCGCUGUAAGUUUUCGGUUAAAUCUGUACGCUCAACGUACAGGCUGCCGGGAAUACUGCAGCGCUAGGGAGUGGGAGAGGUAGACGGUACUCGGUAGGAAGGGGUAAAAUCCUUCGAUCUAUUGAUGACCACCUGUGGCGAAGGCGGUCUACCAGAACACGUCCGACGGUGAGGGAUGAAAGCUGGGGGAGCAAACCGGAUUAGAUACCCGUGUAGUCC